AGCUUUGCACAUUGGCAGUAUUGUAGCCAAUGAGGUUUAUCCGAGGUGUGAUUAUUGCUAAUUGAAAACUUUUCCCACAAGGAAUCCCAGGACUCUAGGCUAGACUGGGAAAUGUGUAUACACCCACCCACACAAAAGUGU